AGGGUGUAAACGCUGCAGACUUGGUGUUGGGGGCCCUUUGGGGGCAUUCAGUGCCGGAGAGAAGUUGUUAAGUCUGCUACUUGGGGAGUACGUCCGCAAGGAUGAAACUUAAAGGAAUUGGCGGGGGAGCACCGCAACGGGAGGAGCGUGCGGUUUAAUUGGAUUCAACACCGUAAACUCACCAGGGAAGACUGUUACAUGAAGGCCGAGAUGAAGACUCUGCUAGAUUUUCAGAGAGGUGGUGCAUGGCGUCAGUGACU
rnacentral:rRNA from 1 species